GGCAUGGCAGGUAAGACUCUAUCCCCACCUCCUUUCCAGCCUGCUCUGCUCAGGGUGUCAAAGGAACUCACUAUGCUUCUGCAUCAUCCACAAGAUUUGGCAGCCUGAUUUUGAGUUUCCUGUUAAACAGCAUUUCUUCUGGGGACAAUAAAUGUUUCAUGGACAUUGCCCUGUAACUUGAGUGACAGGUCUCAGCAUCUCCUGAGCUGGAUGGAUUGCCAGAAGCUUGUUUCCCAAGUGACUGAGUAAUGUCUUCUCCAGUAGAGUAACAAGGACCUCAGCAGUGUUACACCUCAGCUCUGUAUUCUUGGGCAACCCUGGCACAGGAUGCAGUCUGUCUGACUCACAAAGGACUCACCCCCCCCCCUCCUCUACAUAAACGAAACUGAUUAAGAUGCAGCGAGAGACGCACCUAAGACCCUCACCAGAUAAGGGUGAUAAGAGUGAAACAACUGCCCUAGGUCUCAUUUGCAUCCGAGAUGGAACCAGAUGACCAUUCAUUUACAUGAGAGAUGGAAAACAGAAAGCCUGAAGCAGAGACUGCAGUGAAUUCUGGGACCAGAGAAGCAGGAGAGCACUGCAUGAUGGGGAAUCUGUGCUUCAAAUGUUAAUCAACCCAUGUUCACACACACCCACCUCAGCAUUUAUCAGACCAGUUCUAAUCUGGAUUUACUAAGGACUCCCCCCCCCCCCCCGACACACACACACAGCUCUAAGUUUAAUAGGCAUCUCGGGCCGUACAUUCCCCGGCCUAUUUAAACUUGAUUGACUAAAACUCGGUUGCUGGGUUAGGGAAUGCUGAGGCAAGAGACCGAGUCAGAGGGGGUAUGGGCAACAUUGGAACAAUGGUUAAGGGUUCAUCACAGCAUCCAACCUGCUGGAGCCCUAAUCCCAUGUGUUGUCAUAUCUUUCCCGAGACGACUGGUGGAAGUCCUCUCCACAAAAGGUUAUGAGCACCCCAAUAAUUGCUUUAAGUCUGUUAAAAGACUAUAGUAAAACCUGGAAAAGUCAUGCUAAGCUGAGGCUUGUGCACAACAAGUAAAAAUCCAAAAUCCUGAUGCUGCAAGCUAUCUAUUGUUCCUGAAGAAACCAUGAGAUAUCUGCCAUCCAUAGGAAUCUCUAGCUGGCUCCCAAGUAUUUGGGUUACUCCCUAAUCUUAAGUGUUUCCUGAUUAUCAAUCAGUUUCCUGAGAUGGUCCAAACCAGAUAACCCCUUGUCAAUAGAAAAGACAAUGAUUUACACUACUGAGGGUGUUUCGAAGCAGCUGAACUGAGGGUAUAAAAAUCUGUAAGUGUGUGUGCUGCAAAAGAAGAAGAAGAAGCAGGAGGAAAGAAAGAGAAGAAGAAAGAAGAAGAAAACUCCUGUGCUGACACCAUCCCCUGUCGUUCUUGGGACGCUGGAAGAACAGAUCAUCUCUCUCUUCAAGGACUGUGCUACGGAAUGUGCCUGUCAGCUUUGCAGCCUGAGUACCGUGGACUAGGUGAGAUCCCAGCGCUCGCUCUCUAUCUCUUCUCUCCAGGCAUAAACUUCUGAACCUGAACUGUAUUAGUUAAGCUUUAGCUAAGUUUCCCCCAAUACUUAGUGAAACCAGGGUAAUAUUGUCAUUGUUUGUGUUUGUUCUUCUUUUGCAUGUCUAUUACUACUAGUACUAUUAUAUAUUUCAUAUGCUUAGCAAUAAAUAACUUUUAUAGGCAAA